UAUCAAUAAGCGGAGGAAAAGAAACUAACAAGGAUUCCCCUAGUAACGGCGAGUGAACCGGGAAGAGCUCAAAUUUGAAAUCUGGCGUCCUCAGGGCGUCCGAGUUGUAAUCUAUAGAGGCGUUUUCCGUGCCGGACCGUGUCCAAGUUCCUUGGAACAGGAUAUCAAAGAGGGUGACAAUCCCGUACUUGACACGACGACCGGUGCUCUGUGAUACGUCUUCUACGAGUCGAGUUGUUUGGGAAUGCAGCUCAAAAUGGGUGGUGAGUUCCAUCUAAAGCUAAAUAUUGGCGAGAGACCGAUAGCGAACAAGUACCGUGAGGGAAAGAUGAAAAGCACUUUGGAAAGAGAGUUAAACAGUACGUGAAAUUGUUGAAAGGGAAACGAUUGAAGUCAGUCGUGACCGAGAGGCUCAGCCGGUUCUGCCGGUGUAUUCCCCUCGGUCGGGUCAACAUCAGUUUUGUCCGGUGGAUAAGGGCGGUAGGAAGGUGGCACCCUCGGGUGUGUUAUAGCCUGCCGUCGCAUACAUCGGGUGAGACUGAGGAACGCAGCUCGCCUUUAUGGCCGGGGUUCGCCCACGUCCGAGCUUAGGAUGUUGACAUAAUGGCUUUAAACGACCCGUCUUGAAACACGGACCAAGGAGUCUAACAUAUCUGCGAGUGUUUGGGUGUCAAA
rnacentral:rRNA from 1 species